AAAAAAACAAACCAUGGGUUUUCAUGUCCAACUUUGACUGUCCGUCUUAUAUGAAAUUUUUUUAUAAUUCGUAUUUUUAUUGUUGUUAGAUGAUAAAACAUGAUUAAUAUUUUAUGCGUGACUUGUCUUUUUAAUUUUUUUUCAUAAUUUUUUUAAAUAAGACGGACGGUCAAAUGUUGGGCACGGAAACCAGGGUUUGUCUUUUU
rnacentral:pre_miRNA from 1 species